CCCUGGUCCAGGGUCCCAGAGGCAAGAACUGUCCUUCAGUGGUGCUGGUCUCAGCUUCUUUAAGGUGAACUUGACAGCAGGCUGAAGAGAGCUCACAGAUUCCCGCCUGCUUCUUAACAGCACUUAUGUGGCCUGACUUGUAUGCAAGGGGUUAUGAAGUGCAGCGGAAGGAUAAACAGGGUGUUGCUAUAUUGUUUGGACUCAGUAUGCCGUCAGCGUCCCAGGAUGAACGACAAAGAGGAUACUAACUAAAUUUUGAUGUGCAAGAACAUGUGUUUAAUUUGCAAGAUGCUUUGUUUAAUUAAAAGGUCACACCAAGUGCCAUCAGAGGUCACGUUUUGGGAAUGUCUGAGCUAGAAGGAACACUAAUUUUAAGAGCCUAUCAUAAAGUUAAUAAACAUUAAAGCUCUGGUAUUCAUUAACUACUUUCACUGAAACAAGAACUAUACCAACAACACCUUGGAACGCCACAUGAUUCCAGCAAAACAGAAAGUUUGAAAAAUCUGUGGGAGACGUGCUGAUCCAUCUAAGGAACAUGCUUGACCAGUUGCCAAAAAUAAAAAGAUCCAGGAACAUGCAGGCCACCACCAAAA